rnacentral:rRNA from 1 species
GAUGAACGCUGGCGGCGUGCUUAACACAUGCAAGUCGAACGGUGAACGAGGGAGCUUGCUCCCUCCGGAUCAGUGGCGAACGGGUGAGUAACACGUGAGCAAUCUGCCCUGGACUCUGGGAUAAGCGUUGGAAACGACGUCUAAUACCGGAUACGAGGCGUGGGGGCAUCCCCAACGCCUGGAAAGAACUUCGGUCCAGGAUGAGCUCGCGGCCUAGCAGCUUGUUGGUGAGGUAACGGCUCACCAAGGCGACGGCGGGUAGCCGGCCUGAGAGGGUGACCGGCCACACUGGGACUGAGACACGGCCCAGACUCCUACGGGAGGCAGCAGUGGGGAAUAUUGCACAAUGGGCGCAAGCCUGAUGCAGCAACGCCGCGUGAGGGACGACGGCCUUCGGGUUGUAAACCUCUUUUAGCAGGGAAGAAGCGAAAGUGACGGUACCUGCAGAAAAAGCACCGGCUAACUACGUGCCAGCCGCCGCCGUAA